CUUGAUUGAACAUUCCCAAAAUGAACUCAAUGCUUAACCCAACCAACUCAAAUGACUUCAAGUUAAUUUGAAAACAAACUUUGGCUUUGGCUGAUAUGAAAUCAUGCCGGUAAUGUAAAUAUGAAUCAUCAAGCUGAGCAGCAAGAAAAAUGCUUCUGUUAGUUUUAGAUUUCCCCUAAAACGACCCAUGUUUAGGCUUAUACCAAGAUCUAUGCGUAUUUAACCAAGCAUGCCUUGUUUUCAAUCAAAGACAUAUACUCAAUUACACUAGAGAUUACCAGAUUUGCACUAAUUAAAAACACAGCCUUAAAACAUCAAUUUUAGGAGCAAAACGUUUAGUCCUUUUAACCAGACACAAGCUAGACCAUCACGAACUAAAUGACAAGUUAAAAGCUGGAAAAGAAACAGAACUUGGACCAAAUUUGUAGAGUAACCUCAUGAAAGAAUAUGGAUCAAACUAGGCAUGGAUCCACUUUAAAAAUAAAUACAUAAGAGUAAUAACAAACAUAAGGUGUUUUCCCUGAAAAUACUUCCAAUAUAAGAUGUUGGCGAACUCAUUGAAACUCUCAAUAGCAUAAAUGAAGAUGAUAGAAUACAGAUGCACUAAGCUAAAGAACUCUUCAGAGAAACACAACUAGUAUUUGCUAUCAAGAAACUUAAUGCACAUCUUGAGCUUCCAAUUGAUUUUAUGACUUCAAAUUCAAAGGUCAUACAUUCAUGGGUCUAAGAAGUACCUAGAAAGCAAAAAGAAAUAAAAUAGUGAAACGUCAGCAACAACAAACGAUGGUCAGCAAUGAAGCACCGUACCUGGAAAGCAGGAAGAAAUAGAAUAGUGCAAGGUCAGCAACAACAAACGAUGGUCAGAAACGAAGCAAUAGUGACAACUGAAUGCAGUUAGUUUCAGCUCCAAACCAAUUCCACACAGACCCAUAUUCAAUUUGAAAUCUCAAACUCAAAUCAAAAUACCAUUCCAAACAUAAAUUGAGCUCAGAGGCUAAACCAUCCUGAACCCCAUUUACAUCAAAGGCUACUCUAGAGAUCAAUUUCAGAAAAGGAAGACCAGUGCAAUAGUGUUUUUUUAAAAGAACCUCAGCGAUCCUAUUCUCUAUGAUUUUUAUCUCCCAAAGUCUGCUUUGAAUGGUAAGAUAGGAUGCCUUUAUUGGCAAGAAACGUAGGGCAGCCUAGACAAUUUAUUUUUGCACUUAGACCCUUUUUCCAAUUCUCAUUUUAGCUUAGGUGUCCCUCAAUUUCUUGCUUGUUAACCAAGCUAGCCUACUUUCAGCUUUCUAAAGGCUUCUUAAGCAGUUACCAAAAGAUUCCCCUUUUCCUAUUUCCUAGACAACCCCCAAAUGCCUAUAUUUUUAAACUCCCAGGACCCUCAUGUUUACCCUAAGAAAUAAACUUGGGUUUGGGCUGCCUAGCCCAUAAUCACAAGAUCCAAACUAAACCAAAACAACACAAAACAUCAAACAAAUUCAACUUAUCAAUUAACAACCAACACAGGGGUAAUCCAAACAUAAAUGGUUUUAACAGUUAACUCUAAGUCUAUGACAACACGGGGGUAAUCCAAACAUAAAUGUUUUGAACAGUUUACCCUAAGUCUAUUUCAUUAGCCAAAUGACUCGAUGACCAUAACCAACUGGAACUAUUCCGCAUAAACAAAGAGAAAAGGAAUGGGAAAGAAGCAACAAAGGUGCUAGAAAUAAAACCAGAAUUGAAAGAAAAGACAGGGGAGUACCAAUUUGACCGGACUUUAAUCGACGAAUUGAAACAACUCGCCGAGCGAGGAAAGCAACAAGAUUCAAACAAUUAAAGGCGCCUUGGUUGGAAACUGGCGACUCUCAAACAAAUCAAAAACUAACAUAAACCAGUUGUUCUUGGCCAGAAUAAUUUUUUAAUGCAAGUCCCGACUCCAAUUGAGGAUGAAUAUCAAGAAACCGAAUUGGGUUGGGCAACCUAGGGCUUUUGCUUCACACUUAGAUCUGAAAUCAACGAGAAUAGGUGAGGAUUUUAUGGGAACUAAAGGAAGUUUCAUUCUCAGGGGGGUAUGAGGAGUAUAUGGUGAGGAUUUAUAGUGAUUUAAAGCUGGAAGGUCAAAACCAUGGUGGAUUAAGGCUCAAAUAGGGAAGAGACAAGGUACAGGGGUGUUUGGAGGAAAUGAGGAUUCUCUGACCUUUUCUGGACAUAUUAAUGGUUUGAAGAGAUGGGUUCGGACCGUUUGAUGCAUCAAAGUGAA
rnacentral:lncRNA from 1 species